rnacentral:lncRNA from 1 species
UCCUCUAGGCGCGAGUCUGCUAGCUGUUGGCCAACCCUGCCGCUUGUCUUCCUUCUGUCAUGGCUGUGUCUGGCUUGCAGUUUGCCACUGGCAGUAAAGAUAUUGGAUUUAUCUUUGGCUAGUACAAGCUGGAUCUUUCUUUUUCGUCGCAGACUUGUGCAAUUAUAUCGAUCAUCUCUUGGAGGGUCUGUUUAAGUAAUACAAUAUUAGUGUAGAUGUUGAUUGGUGCUGUUUAGAUACUCCAUGGUCUUGGAAUAUUCGAUAGCCUUAGACUGCGUUUGAUUUGGAUAGACGGAAAAUGGACAUGGUAAGAGUGAAGUAUGUGAGAAUAGUUAUUCUAGGAGUUAUGCCAAUUUUUUUUUGUUCCACGUAUAAAUAGAAAGAGAUACCCUUUUUUUGGAAUAACUUUUGAGGGAUAUACUUUUUUUCAUAAAAAAU